AACGGGGCAACAGGGGCAACACGGGCAACAGGUCAAAAGGGCAACAUGGGCAACAAGGGCAACAUGGGACACGGGGCAACAGGGCAACAUGGGCACCAUGGGCAAAAAGGGGAACAAAGGCAACAUGGGCAACAUGGCAACAUGGCAACAUGGGCAAGAAGGAAAAUGAGCAACGAUAAAAGUAUUAUUGAGAGAGGUUAAAAGUGCAAUGGAGGGUUUAGAAAGCGAGUGAUAUUCGAAAAUUCUCUGAAAUUGUACGAGCAGUUUCAAUCAAACAAUUAGCAACUGCUUGCGCUUUCACGCGAUUUCUUCAUUUUACUAAGAACAAGUACGCCCAUAUUCCUAAGAUUUGCACUGCAGUCCUAGGAACUGUUAUCAAAUUAUCUUUUGUUAAUUAGACAACUAAAAAUACCAAAGUCUGCUUUUCCUAAAAAUAAAUUCACCUUGUGCAAAUUUUGCACACAAACUAUAGUUCUAUUGAGGAACACUUCUUAUGUACACAUACAUGAAAAAAUUUGUUAAACUUGACACUUCAACUGAAACUGAAAGUAAUCAAAGGCCCUUCUAACAACCUCGUGUCACUUAUUUUAGAGUGCCAAGAACUCCACUGCUGCACUAAAACAGUGUAACCCAAGUGCAUUGCUAACUAGAGAAAACAGGCGCACAUUUUCACUCUCGAUUAGGCUCGAUCUGGCCCGAUCUGAUCUUUGCUGAAUAUUAAUUUUUGUAAUUUAUACCUGUUUUCUUAUUUUCGGAAAGUGCGCAUUAGAUGUUAUUUUUUUAUCGGCUCAUUAUGAUCCCCCAAUUGUUCGCGUGUCGGGGUUGAAUUCAAGUAUUUAAGACCCUUUAUCAAAGGGCUUCUAAAAACAGAUUGUGAAUCAAUGUCUACUUCAGGAAGUUUAAACGGCUCUGUAUUAAAAUGAAGCGAACUUUAAUCUUAAAUCAUUUGUUAGUUACUUUAUUUCAUGGGUUGAAAUAAUAUUGAUACCAAACAAAUCUAAAACCAACCAGCGAGGAUAAAUUCCAGGUGAUUCGUCUUCGAGUGAUACAAUUUGUUUCCUUAUUUAACGCAAGUAGCAUGAUGCGAUGAUAAGCUCUCGUGCUAUAAAUCAUGUAAUGUUUCACCAUUUGAUCUGGCCUGAUCUGUCCCAUGUUGAUAUAUGUGCAGGAGAUAUUGAUCAUAUCAUAAAAUGAAUUCUUGUGAUUUAUACCCUAAGUUAUACCUGUUUGCUUAUUCCCUGAAAAUGCACUCUUAAUCGGUGCAUUGUGAUCUCUGAACUUUUCUGAUGUCAGCCCAUGGAAUCUGAAUUGCGCGACAGAAACUCGUCUAAUCGGGUCAAAUCAGGCCGAAUUUUACUUGUAGGGUUAUACACUCUAACAGUAGUUGUGUUAUUAUUCUUAAAAAGUAUCUUGUUGCAGAUAAAAUAAAACCCAGAAUUUUACAGUUUAGUAAUAUAUGGGACCAAUUCUCUCAUGACUUUUACGGGAUCUUAAAUUUUAUGAAACUAAAAAGUAACAAGCAUUGAUAAUUUUCUUGUUUUGAACUAUGACCACGUCACUGGCGUACAAACCAGCACAAUGAUAACUGCGAUCGAAUUCGCCUGUUUUGUUAGCUUUGUAACAAUUGGUCUUAUAAAACGAAAGCAGCAAAGCUAAUUUCUGACCGGUCAUGAACCGUUAACUUACUCACCGAAAUUUCCUAAACAUACGAAUUCAAAGAUUCUGUUUCUGCUCAUUCUCAAAAUACAUCGACCUCGUACAAAUUUUCCUUAAGACAACAAUUGUCUUGAAAUGCUUCUCAUGGUGAAGCUCUACACAAAAUAUUACUUAAAUUCGACAUUCCAAAUUCUUCACCACAGCAGACAGGGUGUUUAUUCUAAAAAAAAAAUGUGCUGGUGAAAUGCCACUGAAAUUCUGGUAUUCCGAAAAAUGAACGACUUUGUAAGCAGAGCAGACUGGGAAAACGCAAGGGUCAACUAGACAUCUAAAAUUUCGUUUCUCUAAAUUUAGCAGCCCGUAAAAACGAGAAUUUAUUUCUCUUCCCUUACAAAAAUAACCCUAUUUUAUUUCUACUUUAUGGCUAUUAUAAUGCUAUCACAUCUAUUUUUGUCCUAUUUUAUCCUUGCAAAUGUCUAUUUUAUUCCUAGUUUACCAGACGGAGAAAAUAGGCUUCAAUUUUAUUUGUGUUUUACAUUUAUCUUAAACCUAUUUUUAAGCAUGACAGACAAAGUGUGGUAUUUUAUUUCUAUUUUUUCAUAACAUCCUGAAAAAUAGCGCGCAAAAUAGGCUGUUUUAAACCUAUGUUACAUUCUUAGAUCAGUGUUCCUCUAUAAAACAGUGAUAAAAUAGACUGUUUAAUCUCUAUUUUCCUUUGGGUAGCAAAGGUAAUGACUUGCUCCUUUGCAAAAUAGACAUAAAACAGGCUAUGAAAAUCCUAUUUUAUCUGAGUCAGCUUUGACUAAUGACAAAAUAGCUUUAAAACACACUAUUUUAUCCCUGUUUAUGGCCGUUGGUUUAACCCCUGUCUCUUUCAUUGCAAAAUAUAAAUAAAAUAGUCUGUUUUAAUUCUAUUUUAUCCCGGGCACCCAAAAUGUUUUUAGAAAUGGCAAGGUGCAUGUACGUGUAUUUGUGAUGAAAUAUUAUAUCGUCUUUUGUAUUAUUUGUCAAUUCAAGAUUCACUAAAUUGUUACCGUGUAAAUAGUAAUUUUCAGGCUGCAAAAACUUCAACGAUGAAUCUACAAUUCCAUCAGCAAUGUUCAAACAACAGUAUAUGGGGGCUUAAUAAUCAUUUAAUGAGUUUGAUUGUGGAAAUCCGGCAUUUGAGAAGCUUGAAUCAACUGUUUAUGUUGACAUUCAGUUUUCCUUUAGAAACAUACAUAACAAAACAGUUAGUUUACCUUUAGGAACACAGAAGGGUGAAUGAAAAAGAAAUGACAAUCACAUGCCACAUGAGACUUCUUCAUAAACAGUCCCAUGCAUAUGCUUCUCACAAGUAGAUAUUUUUAACUCUGUAAGAGUAAAAUUACUUAGGAUAAUUAUACCCUUCUUCAAAUGAUGUCUGAACACUUUCCAGCCUGUGUCAGGCCUCUAAAUUCAGUAAAAAGCCGCCGAGUUUCUUCUGUGGAAUGCAUGAACCGCCAUCUUGGAUUUGAAUGUUGAUAAGACCCUAGGAACGAGUUUGCUAUAACCCAUGAUGCAAUGCUCUAAGAAAGGCGCGCGUUUCAACGGUCACUGAACGAUUGAAAGAUUGAAGAUGUUUGAAGAUGUUUGAAAGCCACAAAAUCUGGAUCUUUUGGCUCUGCAAGAGAUCUUAUUGAAGCAGAAAAGCUUGAAGUAUAGAAUCACUCACAGAACUAUGUGGUUGAAAAGCUAAGUGAAAAACAAUUCACAAACAUGAGUGAUUACACUUUCACAGUUAUUUCUGUCAUUAUCUGUUGGACCUCAUGGAAAAUGGGCUGUAUAGUCUUGACUUGAGUGUGAAACUAAUUGCAACUUUGAAUUUUAAACAAAGAAGUCAGUGUAAGCUUAAAUCUGUAUGACACAUAAAGAAACCCUUCAAUUUUAGAAAAUAAAAUAAAUUAUGAACGGAAACAAGAUGUUCCAGCUGGUCUUUAAUCUGGUGUAAGCUCUACCCUUGGCUGCUGGACAAAAAUCUUAGUGAUAAUUUUUACAAG